GUCACGGCUGAGUGGAUCUUCUCGGAGCACGGCACGAAGCUGUCGUGUUUGGACUCCUGCGCAGCCCGCAGCAGCUCCUGGAUGUUUUUGGUGACCUGCUCGGUUUUCAGGAUGACAUCCUCCGUGCUGGGCAGCCCGGGGUCCAGCUCCCCGUCCAGCGGGUCCAGCUCGUGGGGGAAGUCCUCGUCCUUGCUCAGCUCCACGAAGCGCUUCCCCUCCACGCCCAGCAGGAUCUCGCCCGUCUGCGUGUUAUCGUAGUCGCUGUCGGUGCCGCUGCCGUGCCGGUCCAGUUUGCUCAUGUGCCGGGCACCAUCGGGUGGGCAGGAGAGCAGCGGGGAGGAUGGGGGAAAAGGCAUGGAGGAGACCGACG
rnacentral:lncRNA from 1 species